GUACUCACUCAGCAGCACAUAUACUAAAUUGGAACAAUACCGAGAAGAUUAGGAUGGCCCCUGCACAAGGAUGACACACAUUCAUGAAUUGUUCCCUAUUUUU